rnacentral:lncRNA from 1 species
UUUUAUUACAUAUUACUCCGUAUGUAUAUAAAAGUCAAUGGCUAAGGUGUUCCUAGAAUUAUUUCAUCUUUUUCAUUUCAGACUCUGAGUUCCAUAUUUUUUCAUAUUGAUCUCUGUGCCAAUUAGAGCAUGGGUGAUGCAGCUGUUUCUUCACACUCUGACCCUCGUUCUUCUGAUCUGUGGAGGACAACCACCUCACAAACACCUGGAGGCCACCAGAAAUUCUGGGAAGCUUUCAGAUUUUAGAAGUAUUGAAAAUAUUUGAGAGACAUAGAAGUAUGAAAAAUCCACAUCAUCAACUGAUUUUUUUAAAAAUAAUAAUUACUGAUUUGUAUUCCCAUCCAGAAUAAGAUAUUUAAGAGAACCUGAAACAUUUUAAUUCAGAGUCAGGAGUUCCCGCUGUGGCACAAUGGGAUCUGCAGUGACUCUGGGGCACUGGGAUUGAUCCCCGGCCGAGCUCAGGGCAUUAAGGAACCGGCGUUGCCACAGCUCUGGUGUAGAUCACCACUGUGGCUCCGAUCUGAUCCCUGACCCGGGCCUCCAUAUGGCCACGGGGUGGCCAGAAAAGAAAAACAAACAAACAACCAACCCAGAGUCAAAGGGGAGGCAAGCUAGAUUUUCCAUAACUCUGCUUUAAGGAGAAAUCUCUGAUGCUUAAGAGCACUGGCUGAAAAGCUAGUUCUAACACUUAUUAGCAAAGUCUCCUUGGACAAACUAAGCUCACUGCACCUCCGUACUCUUCCCACAAGGGGUCCGGAGGGAAUUAAAGGAGCUAGUUUGUGCAAAGCAUCUAGAACAGUGUAGGUGUGCAUGAUUAUCCUUCCUAAUCUUACGUGUUUCUAAUUGCUGGAUACAAAGUUCUUUUUUGUUUUUAACUUCCUUUCACUGUGGCAAGCAUCCCCACUUCAGCCCUUCCAGCUGUGCGCUUGGCUCAAGGCAGCCCCCCUUCUCUCCCCACCCUGCUCCCCUCUCACUUGAAUAGGACUUGUUUUCUGUCUGCUUUUCCUGGCAGGAUUCCAGCUCUGGUCACUGUGCCUGUUUCCAGCCCAGGGCCUACCCCUUCAUCCCUGCGAGCUGCUCAGCUUCUGGCCCAUAGAAAUGAUAGGCCUGGAGUAGGAUAGUUGCAGGGGUGGUUACGGGGGUCCCGGUGGGGGACCAUGGAUGGAGAGCAGGGCCUGGGAGAUCACUGUGGGUUGGUGAUGCUCAGAAGGGCCAUCAGAAUGAGGCAGGCUUGCUUGACUAGUGGAGGCACGAGAUAUGCCCGAGGUCAUUGGGUGGGGGGUGAGGUGAGGCCUGCCUUCAGACCCAGGGCAGGAAUUUAAGGACCGCCCUUCUGCUGAUUUGCAUAAGCACCUUGACCUUAUAGGGUCAAAUACUCUCUUACUGGAUACUGAGGAGGAAGAGGGGGUCUUUUCCCACCCCCACGCCCCUGGGAUUAUAAAACUAUAGCCCACCUAACACUGGGGACAGAGCCUCCUCACCUGCCUGCUUGCAUUUCACAAGUACCUCAUUUUAAUAAAUCUAUUUCUUUCCUAUUGCUGUCUCUCACUGAAUUCCUUCUGUGCUGAGGCACAAAGAGCCUGAAUUUCAGUGAGUCCAGACACCCGGUGAGUGAUUUUAAUUUAAAAUCAUGGGUUCAAGUCCCAAUCUGGGUUUAGGCUGGAUUCGAGUCCCCGUACAUGGGUUCAAGUCUCAGGCUGUGUUCUGCCUGGGUUCAGGCCCUUAGUGCUCAGUUUCACUACUACCUCCCUUUGUUGCAAAAACUCGCUAUCCUAGCUUCCCCCCUCGCCUCCUUGGAGUGGUUUCUCAGGGUUCCCCGAGAGGCUCGCUCCACUCUGGGGCUUAAGUCCUAAUUUCACUCCAAAUAAAACUUAACCUUCAGGUUGUGCUUUUUUCAGUCAACACUGAAAUCAUUCCUUUGUUAUGCACCUCAGCUGGCUGGGGCAGUAUUCUGUGUUCUCCCCUCCUGAGUCUCCUCAGGGUGCAUCUGAAGAGGUGCCAGCCAUUGCCACUGCUUAAUGGCAGGCAUCCUAUUUCCGUCCUGAGUUCCCUCAGGGCUCAUGGUGGGGGUGGUGUGAGUGUGUGUGUAUGUGUGUGCGCAAGUGUGUGUGCGUGCGCGCUUGUGUCCAUAAGGUGAUGGCUUAAUGGCUGCAACUCUUCAAUUUUCUUUCUAAAUUCUUUCUUUCUUUCUUUCUUUGUCUUUUGGGGCUGCACCCACAGCAUAUGGAGUUCCAGGCUAGGGGUCGAAUCAGUGCUGUAGCCGCCGCCUACACCACAGCCACAGCAAAGCCAGAUCCGAGCUGCGUCUGUGACCUAUACCACAGCUCAUGGCAAUGCCGGAUCCUUAACCCACUGAGCAGGCCAGGGAUCGAACCUGCAACCUCAUGGUGCCUUGUUCGAUUCCUUUCUGCUGUGCCACAACGGGAACUCCCAUUUUCUAUUCAGCCAUCCAGGACUCUAUAGUUCUUAAAAAUGGCUUCUGGAAAUCUCACCAAUAGGGUCAAUUGAUAGUCAGAUGGCCAAGAUCUGUUGGUUCAGCUAUAAAACCUUGGGCUUAGGGCUUUCUUCCAGUCAGUUUCAAGCUCUGUGGCCCUGUGUUCAAUUUCUAACCCUGGGCAGACUAACAUAUGAGGCUGCUGGGACCCCUUAUCCUAAAGGCUGAACCCCAAGCUAGUUGCGGAUGCAGACUCCUCCCCUGUGCUCCAGGGAAAUGACUCCGGAGGCAGGGAGUCAGCAGAUCUAGGAGACUUGCCAGCUCUAGCAAAAACAGGUUUAUGGUACUUCGCAUAGUACUUUCGGCUUUCAGUUUCUUCAUUCGGAAAAUGGAGCAAACAACAUCUGACCCACCUCAAGAGUUUUGUGACUCUCACAGGACAUAAUAAGAUACAAACCAUAUUUUCAGAGUUCCUUCGUGGUGCAGUGGGUUAAGGAUUUGGCAUUGUCUCAGCUGUGGCAUGGGUUCACUCCCUGGCCCGGGAACUUCUGCAUGCCAUGGGUGUGG